GCCCCCGCCGGGCCGGGCAGCGCCGCCGGGACCCCCCCGCCGCCGGGGCUCGGCCGCUCCGCUCCUCCGGCGGGGGCUCUGCCGCUUUCCCCCCGCCACCGGGGGCCCGGUCCCGCCGCGCUCGAGUUCUGCGAGCCCCGGCGGGGAGGGAGGAAGGGAUGGAGGGAGGAGACAGUCCCGCCGCCCGCCCCACCAGCGCCGGGGCCGCCGUGCGGGGCCUGGCAGGGUUGGCGCCCGCUGGUGCCCCAGCGACAGAAGGCACCGCGUGCGGGGGCACCGAGCGCGGCCCUGCCGGGGCUCCCGGGGCUGGAACCGCGGACCGGCAACGUGGCCGGGAAGAGGAGACACCUCUGGUCUUAAAUCACCGGUGGGUGCGGAUGUCCAGACCGGGGUGCUCCUUUAUGAGCACGCUGUAAACGAGGGAGCCUCCGUCUUUCCACCUACCCCAGGCACCAGCUUCCUGCAAAGGGCGCUCCAUUGAAACUCAAGAAUGUCACCUUGAUGGAGAGAACAACUUCUUGAAAGGAGUAAUCUGCUUGGAGCAACAAAAGCCACCUCCUUCAGAAAUACACCCACAGAAGCGUGCAAGGCCAGGACAAUAACGUCAUAUCAGGGCAUAAUUAAAACUCCUGAGUAGUUACAGCUCCUCAUUGACAGUCUUUUAUGUAAUGACUGAACGCAGUUAAGGUAACGACCUUCCCCAUACUGACAUGUCUGCACAAACAUACAAUUACCACGGAGAUGGAAAGCAGCCUGACAAACAUUUUGCUCAGGGAACAAGAAAGCCAUCAAGGAGGUCCCGAGCCCUUUUCCAGCCUUGCUGCUCCUGACUUCUUCAGGACAUUGCAUCAAGCCCUGAAGGCAGGGACAGAGGCCAGAAGGUGCUCACAUAUUAAUAAGUCCUCCUUGCCCAGCAGAUGCCCUUUCUUGGCAAAACUCUCCCUUUCUGUAGAAGAUCAAGCAUGUGUUGUUGCACAACUGACCGGCAGUUUUACAGAACAAGCUCAGACUGGCUUUCUGGGGGCACUGAGACAUGAGACAAGAGAGAUAUUGACAACAUCCUAACAAACAAAAAAAAAUAUAAAGACAAAAGCUAUCCAUGGUUUCUCACUCAAGAAACAUCCACCCUUAGAAGCCUAUUUUUCCUAGUCUUUUUCGUUCUUGCAGGGUGAAAGUGAAUAAGCAAUAGUAAGCAUGGAAAGACGACCAAAUCAACAGAAAGAGACGAGUUAAACUCAAGUUUGCAUGACAGAAGUUGCACAGAAGUGCUGUGGGAAGACAAAGGCAUUCAUAUUCAGAUCUGAAUUAGUGAGAGCUAUAUGAAAUCUGGACCAAAGGAUAAUAAAAGCAAAAGUCUGCUAACGGUGGUUAGAUCGUGUUCUCAUGGAGCGUGUCUGGGUGACUCAGACAGCAGGGUUUUAGACAAAGAGGGUUUAGAACAAGCCUUAGUAAAGAUAAAAACCAGCAGCAAUACAAGACACAGCACUCUUACACAACAUCAUACCUGUCCCAUUCACCCUUCCUCUUGUCCUGCAAACAGUGGCACACAGAACUAAGGCCUGUAAUGGAGCACAGCUCUGCCCAUGUGGACCAGCAGCCGUGGACAAGUCACAUGGCCAGACUGGCACUGUGAGCUCUUUGGGAGUCCUCUCCUGUAAAACUUCUAAGAUCUCAUCAUAAUGGAAGUUACCCAGCCAAAAAAGUCCCAAAACACACAGUAAGAAGAGAGCCUUUACAAUUAUUUUUGUCGUUGCACAUUUGCAUCACUGUACUAAUAAAGAUUCUCCAAGUAAAAUUCUUACCACCAACUUAAUAUCCAGUCCUAAACUCAGUCUUCACUCAUGUUGGUGUGCAGGCUAUACUAGCCCUGCUUGCACUAGUGCUCCAUCUGCCCACACGAACAUCCUACAUUUCUUGGGGAGACUGAAAUGGCACUAAACAUCAGUGCUUGGCAACUGAACUUCACCAUAAAGUCUUUCUGGACAGGCCUGCUUUUACCUUCAGUCAGUCAACAUGCAACUGAAGCCAUUUUGCCAGCAUACACUUCACUUGUGCUCCUGCUAAAAGCCUUGUGUCAGGCUGAACAGUGAAGUGCUAAGGAUCUCACGGUCCUUGUUUCAUUAUGUUAUUCCCUACAAAAAAUAUGCAAUUGGGUCUGGGUUCCCCCCCCCCCCAAGCUUGGAAGAAGUACAGUGGUUUGGCUGGGUAGAGAAAAAUGUUCACAUUUCCCACUGUGAAAAACUGUGCGAGAAAAAAGCAUUUGCAGAGCAUGUGGUAUAACAGGAAGGGAUUGAUCAGAUUACCUGGAGAACUGAUACUUGCCUCUACUAAAACUCUAUUUCUGUUCAACGCCCUGCUUGCAAAUUUUGAGAGAAGAUAAUACAGGAUUUUCUUAUGGUAUUUCAGGUUAAAUGCUGCAUAAGAAAUGCAGCAUCCUCAAAAUGUCGCAUCUAUAAGCUUCUGAUUCACACAUUUGCCAUUUGGGGAUAUUAGGUAUGAUUCUUGUUUUUAAUGAAGAUAUAAAAUAUUAGAAGGAAAAAAGAUCCAAUUCACAAUUCUAUCUGUCGAGUUUAGUGUGCACUGACUCCAGGUUCCACAAUAACAUCACGCUGUGAGUGUGCUUUCAACAGCAGCUCCAAGUGCAUUCAUGUCAGGCAGUGGGGAAGGCACAGGCUGAGACAGAUGACACCCAAAGCUCUUCUAAUGCAUUUAAACCUUUUUGUCUUAAAUUGAUCCCAUCUCAGAUAUGCUGAGUGUUCAGUCUCUUUUUCUGGCUGAUUUAAUUAUAACUUUCGAACUGGUAAAAACUGUGAUAUGAAGCUUUGUGAAUGAGCAUUUUAAAGAGAAAGUGGGAUAGAAAAAGACUUAAAUCAAAAAUCUGGGGACAAAACACACUGGCUACAUCCAUACUGUUUAACACAGUCUCAAACACAGGCACAAGGCUCUGCAUCACUUGAAAUGUGAGUUACAGUUUAACCUCUGACCACUCAAGCCACUAAGCCAGUUUGGCACACCACAUGAUGGGCAUAAAACUGACCCAGAGCACCCAUAGGAAACACCUCCUGUAUUCACAGUCACAGACCCCACAUCUACAUGAACAAACUGUGUCAAAAUUCCACUCACACCUCCCACCAUGCCUUUUCCCCAGGUCCCAGUUUUACUUCAGGAGGUUUUCCAGAACAUGGUUUUUUUUUAAUAUCUGUUUGUACAAGCAACAGUUUUCUUGUGUUUUCUUAUUCAAGGGUGGACUUAAAAGAACAAAGGUUGCUCUUUCAUAAUGCAUCAUCUUCCUGAACAGACCAAACAAGGUCUCAAUGAAAAACCACAAGCUUUUAUUUGUACCCAUCAACAUACCAAUAAAUUCACAGAGAAUAACCACAGAAAUAAGGAGCUUACCACCCUUGAAACCUUCCUGAGUGCCUUCCAGAGAUGUGGUGUACUCCCUUACAUCAGUGGUGUUCUUCAAAGCACAGUAUAAAUCAUUUGGUGUGUGAGACAAUGGGGAGGGCAUCUUCAGAAAUGUAUGUUCAAAGCAAUUAGGAGAGGUGAUAAAGCAGGACAGCCACAGAGAUUUUCUUCCUGCUUCUCAGUGGAGACAGAACCGACUCAUCUUAGUACAGUACCACAGUCCAAAAUAUUACACCUAUAGUUGUUUUUUAAAGCUGUAUCCUUUACAUGUAGAAAGAAAGCAUGGAAAUAAACAUGAAAAAAGUUAAUCA